rnacentral:rRNA from 1 species
AGCGAACGCUGGCGGCAGGCCUAACACAUGCAAGUCGAGCGCCGUAGCAAUACGGAGCGGCAGACGGGAGAGUAACACGUGGGAACGUGCCCUUCAGUUCGGAACAACCCAGGGAAACUUGGGCUAAUACCGGAUACGUCCGUAAGGAGAAAGAUUUAUCGCUGAAGGAUCGGCCCGCGUCUGAUUAGCUAGUUGGUGGGGUAACGGCCCACCAAGGCGACGAUCAGUAGCUGGUCUGAGAGGAUGAUCAGCCUCACUGGGACUGAGACACGGCCCAGACUCCUACGGGAGGCAGCAGUGGGGAAUAUUGGACAAUGGGCGCAAGCCUGAUCCAGCCAUGCCGCGUGGGUGAUGAAGGCCCUAGGGUUGUAAAGCCCUUUCGGCGGGGAAGAUAAUGACGGUACCCGCAGAAGAAGCCCCGGCUAACUUCGUGCCAGCCGCCGCAGUAAAAC